rnacentral:rRNA from 1 species
AGUGAACGCUGGCGGCAGGCCUAAUACAUGCAAGUCGAACGGCAGCACAGCAGAGCUUGCUCUGUGGGUGGCGAGUGGCGGACGGGUGAGGAAUACAUGGGAAUCUGCCCAGUCGUGGGGGAUAACGUAUGGAAACGUACGCUAAUACCGCAUGCGCCCUACGGGGGAAAGUCGGGGACCGCAAGGCCUGACGCGAUUGGAUGAGCCCAUGUUCGAUUAGCUAGUUGGCGGGGUAAAGGCCCACCAAGGCGACGAUCGAUAGCUGGUCUGAGAGGAUGAUCAGCCACACUGGAACUGAGACACGGUCCAGACUCCUACGGGAGGCAGCAGUAGGGAAUAUUGGACAAUGGGGGCAACCCUGAUCCAGCCAUGCCGCGUGAGUGAAGAAGGCCCUCGGGUUGUAAAGCUCUUUUGUCCGGAAAGAAAAGCAUCUGGUUAAUACCCGGGUGUUCUGACGGUACCGGAAGAAUAAGCACCGGCUAA